rnacentral:rRNA from 1 species
AUUGAACGCUGGCGGCAGGCCUAACACAUGCAAGUCGAGUGGAGCGGCGGACGGGUGGGUACUGCCUGGGAAUCUACCUGGUAGUGAGGGAUCCCGUCCGGGGAGGGGAGCUAAUACCACAUACUAUCAGAUGAGCCUAGGUCGGAUUAGCUAGUUGGUGGGGUAAAGGCCUACCAAGGCGACGAUCCGUAACUGGUCUGAGAGGAUGAUCAGUCACACUGGAACUGAGACACGGUCCAGACUCCUACGGGAGGCAGCAGUGGGGAAUAUUGGACAAUGGGCGAAAGCCUGAUCCAGCCAUGCCGCGUGUAUGAAGAAGGCCUUCGGGUUGUAAAGUACUUUCAGCGGGGAGGCGUUACCCGCAGAAGAAGCACCGGCUAACUCCGUGCCAGCAGCCGCGGUAAUUC